CAUUCAAAUGGAAAUGAUGCCUUCAACAAAUUCAUCAGUUGACAUGUUUGCAACCUUACCUGGAAUGCGAGGGGAGCAUUUGUCGAAUGACCAAUCUGACAUAUAUAUAGAUUAUGGUGAAUUUGGCAAUAUAGCAGGAUUUUAGCAAUAUGGACAAACUAUGACAACACCAUGGGAAGGUGGG